rnacentral:rRNA from 1 species
CGCUGGCGGCGUGACCUAUACAUGCAAGUCGAACGCACUCUCGUUUAGAUUGAAGGAGCUUGCUCUAAUUGAUAAACAUUUGAGUGAGUGGCGGACGGGUGAGUAACACGUGGGUAACCUGCCCUAAAGUGGGGAUAACAUUUGGAAACAGAUGCUAAUACCGCAUAAAACCUAACACCGCAUGGUGUAGGGUUGAAAGAUGGUUUCGGCUAUCACUUUAGGAUGGACCCGCGGUGCAUUAGUUAGUUGGUGAGGUAAAGGCUCACCAAGACCGUGAUGCAUAGCCGACCUGAGAGGGUAAUCGGCCACACUGGGACUGAGACACGGCCCAGACUCCUACGGGAGGCAGCAGUAGGGAAUCUUCCACAAUGGACGAAAGUCUGAUGGAGCAACGCCGCGUGAGUGAAGAAGGUUUUCGGAUCGUAAAACUCUGUUGUUGGAGAAGAAUGUAUCUGAUAGUAACUGAUCAGGUAGUGACGGUAUCCAAUCAGAAAGCCACGGCUAACUACGUG